GUGCUCACUUCGGCAGCACAUAUAUUAAAAUUGGAACAAUACAGAGAUGAUUAGCAUGGCUCCUUCACAAGGAUGACUCGCAAAACAAUACAUAGGAGCAUAUUUUU